rnacentral:rRNA from 1 species
UACAGAGGUCUCGAGCGUUAGGCGGAAUCACUGGGCUUAAAGCGUGUGUAGGUGGAUGCCUAAGUACCUUGUGAAAUCCCACGGCUUAACCGUGGAACUGCUUGGUAUACUGGGUGUCUUGAGUCACUCAGGGGCAGACGGAACAGGCGGUGGAGCGGUGAAAUGCGUAGAUAUCGCCUGGAACGCCGAAGGUGAAAACAGUCUGCUGGGGGUGUGCCGACGCUGAGACACGAAAGCCAGGGGAGCGAACGGG